rnacentral:rRNA from 1 species
UCCGUGCAAAGGUAGCAUAAUCACUUGUUCUUUAAUUAAGGACUAGAAUGAAUGGAUACACAAAUAAUAACUUUCUUUAUAUAACUUAUAAAAAUUAAUAUAUGAAUGAAAAAUUUCAUAUUUACUAAAAAGACCAAAAGACCCUAUCGAGCUUAAAUAAACAAAAUUUCAAAACUUUUUUAUUUUUAAUUGGGGCGAUUAAAGAUAUAUUCCAUCUAUUUUAAACACGAAUAAUAAUUUCACCUUUAAAAUAAAAAAUAAAGUUACCGCAGGGAUAACAGGCUACUCAAUUUUAAAAGUUCACAUUAACAAAUUGUCUUAGCACCUCGAUGUUGGCUUAAGGGUACUCUAAA